GAUGAACGCUGGCGGCGUGCCUAAUACAUGCAAGUCGAGCGAACAGACGAGGAGCUUGCUCCUCUGACGUUAGCGGCGGACGGGUGAGUAACACGUGGAUAACCUACCUAUAAGACUGGGAUAACUUCGGGAAACCGGAGCUAAUACCGGAUAAUAUAUUGAACCGCAUGGUUCAAUAGUGAAAGACGGUUUUGCUGUCACUUAUAGAUGGAUCCGCGCCGCAUUAGCUAGUUGGUAAGGUAACGGCUUACCAAGGCAACGAUGCGUAGCCGACCUGAGAGGGUGAUCGGCCACACUGGAACUGAGACACGGUCCAGACUCCUACGGGAGGCAGCAGUAGGGAAUCUUCCGCAAUGGGCGAAAGCCUGACGGAGCAACGCCGCGUGAGUGAUGAAGGUCUUCUGAUCGUAAAACUCUGUUAUUAGGGAAGAACAAAUGUGUAAGUAACUAUGCACGUCUUGACGGUACCUAGUCAGAAAGCCACGGCUAACUACGUG
rnacentral:rRNA from 1 species